UUUUUUGUGUGCGUUGAGGAGUUUCGAAAUUUCCAAGUUUGUUUUCAUUUUUUUUUUUUUUAAUCGAACCGUACAAAAAUUGAUACUUUACCUUCCAUACAACUUUUGUAUGAAACAAUUUUUCAUUAGACGCAUAAUUUAAAAGUUAUCUUAGGUGUGCAAGUUAUAUGAAUCAUCCUGUAUAUAGUUCCAUUCAAAAAUUCGGAGCAUUCUUCGUAUUUUCGGUAAAAUAAACAUCUUCGUACAAUUUUUUGAGAAGAAAAUAUUGUAAUUAUAACUUAAAUAGAAUUAAGUGAAAUUUCAGUGUCACAAAAGAUAUUCACAAGUAAAAUAUUUAUUUAUUUGAAAUAGCCGCGCUCUAAGGUUUUUGAACAAAAGAUCGUAUUUAAAAAUUACAAUUUCAAAACGACGUUGAAACAAAAAAAAAAAAAAAUUGGUGAAGAAUGAAUUUGAAAACUUUGACAAGGUUUUACUGCGUGUCUAUCUGUCCAUUUUAAUUUAAUCGUCAUUCUUUACAUAAAAUACUUUAUCUACGUCGUUAAAGCUAACUAAAGUAUUAAAAUUUUAUUUUUAGACUGAACAACAACAGCUUCGAAGAAUUUCAAGGGAAAAAUUUACAAUUGUGGUAAAAAGAUGUGCGAAAUUAGCAAAGCGAAUGCCUUUACGUAAGAAAAAGCAUGUAGGCAUCGUAAAUUCAAGGAAUUACAUUCAUAUACUCAAAAUAACGUAUGAUCACUCUUGCCCACUCUUACGAUUAGGACAAUUAUUAUUACGUUUGUUUAAAAAUUAAACAAUACUAAUUUUAUUGAAUAAUCUAUACAAUUUGAAAUUUAUGGUCUGCUCAUCGGAGGCUAAGCAGUAAUUUAUUAUAAAUAGUAUUUAAAUUUAUAAAAAUUUCAAAAAUCUAAAUGAUGAGCAAUAUUCCUUGGUAUUUCGUCUUAUAUUAAGUCUGAUAUUAAGUCUGAAAAAUGUAGAGUUUGAUAACAUAUAAAUUAACUUGAAGAAUUGCAAAUAAGACUGAUUCGAAGAACUGCAGCAAUACAAUGUCAAAUUUAUUGUAGUUGAUAAAAUCUUUCAAUUGCACGUGUAUUUAUAAUAUGAACUUUCUAGAUUCUUUGCUGUACUAGGUAUUACUUAACUUUUUCCAACUUCGAAACGAGUAUAGUUGGUACUUGUGAACACUUGAGUGGCAAUGCGCAUCUUCAAUUCUUUUAACUCGAAGCAAUACACAAUUAUUUCCUUUCUUGACAAAUGAGAGCGCCGUUGUAAGUAUUAAAACGCAGAAUUGGACUUUCUCUUCGAUUAUAGACGCAAUAUUAGCGGCAGACUUCAUCAUUAAAAUAUACAGUUUAGGGUACACCAAUGUAUAUUUAUUUAUUACGCUAAGCUUCCUCCAUAAUUUAAAAGUCUGGUAGAUUGAACGUCAAAGUAAAAACAAUACAAAUCUUCUAGAGAAACUUAGCCCAGCCUUAGCUUGUUAUUUUCCUACAAACGAGUAAAAACAUAAAUCUCCGACCUAUUUUUAAGAUUCGAGGCUUAGCAUGGUUUAACGCGAGGUUAGACGCGUUAGACAACGAGGAAUUGACCGACAGAUGGAAUAACGAAGAGAGGAAUGUAACCGUAUGAUUGAAAUGUAUCUGUCCGACCUAUAUCUAAGUUUCUACGCUAGACUCUGCGUGGCGACUAAAUGUGUCAAGGAAUUGGAGCUACCAGCAAAACGUAUUUACAGAGUGGCCCAUUUUAAUCUGUAUUUAAUCUAAACAAACGUAUCUUGGAUUUAUUACUUGGUAAUUAAAUUGGCGAUUUUCAUGCAUUUUCAUGCGGGAAAUUAUAAUGGCGGAAGACAUUGUGACAAAUACAAAAAUGUAUAAAAUUUUCAAAAUAA